CUGGCGGCGUGCCUAAUACAUGCAAGUCGAACGAAGCUUUCUUUCACCGAAUGCUUGCAUUCACCGAAAGAAGCUUAGUGGCGAACGGGUGAGUAACACGUAGGCAACCUGCCCAAAAGAGGGGGAUAACACUUGGAAACAGGUGCUAAUACCGCAUAACCAUGAACACCGCAUGAUGUUCAUGUAAAAGACGGCUUUUGCUGUCACUUUUGGAUGGGCCUGCGGCGUAUUAACUUGUUGGUGGGGUAACGGCCUACCAAGGUGAUGAUACGUAGCCGAACUGAGAGGUUGAUCGGCCACAUUGGGACUGAGACACGGCCCAAACUCCUACGGGAGGCAGCAGUAGGGAAUCUUCCACAAUGGACGAAAGUCUGAUGGAGCAACGCCGCGUGAAUGAAGAAGGCCUUCGGGUCGUAAAAUUCUGUUGUCAGAGAAGAACGUGCGUGAGAGUAACUGUUCACGUAUUGACGGUAUCUGACCAGAAAGCCACGGCUAACUACGUGCCAGCAGCCGCGGUAAUACGUAGGUGGCGAGCGUUGUCCGGAUUUAUUGGGCGUAAAGGGAACGCAGGCGGUCUUUUAAGUCUGAUGUGAAAGCCUUCGGCUUAACCGAAGUAGUGCAUUGGAAACUGGAAGACUUGAGUGCAGAAGAGGAGAGUGGAACUCCAUGU
rnacentral:rRNA from 2 species